CACACACACACACACACACACACACACACACACAGGCAAAUAAGACCCAUAUUUAAAGUUGUCUGUAUGAGUAUGGACAUCACAGAAACAGACUCUAUAAGGAGCACACAUAUGGGAGGUGUGAGUGUGUUUGGUUAGUGAUCUGUGGUUGACUGACACCUCCAGGUCAUUACACAAGUGACUGCGCCGAGGAAGGGGGACUCUGGCUCUCUCUUAAUGAUGAGGAAGUCUCCCCCACCACUCAGGAGGCUGUACUCAGAGAGAGAGCCAGCACUGCCUACAUGCUUUUUUACACCAGAAAGUGAAGUGCCCCUUCCUGGUCAUCAAGGCUCAGCACCAGACACAGACAGGACUCUCCUGCUCAGCAGGAGACACUCAACCAGAGACGUCACAUGUGAAACACUAGAUAAGGGUUCUGUGAGAGGCUGUUGGACCUGCCCCCCCCCCCCCCCCCCCCCCACCACAUCAAGCUGGUCUCCAUGGUGGGGUCUCCUCAGGACCGGAGCGCUACAACAGCUCAGUACCAUCAAGUCCUGCUGCUGAACCCCCCCGUCCCCCCAAACACACACAUACUUGCCCGAAUAAACCAAAAACCCAGUGUUUCGCACACUCCAGUCUACUGUGGAUAUGUUCACACAUACACCCACACACUCCACUGGUGACACCAUCUUCACCACACACACACAUUCUCAGACACAUAUGUUCAUACCACUCGUGAUACCAUCUAGACCCCCCCCCCCCCACACACACACACACACACAGUCCAGCCUACUGUGGAUACGUUAUCAUAAGUGUACUAUUGUUGAGUAUAUUUGUUUUAUUUAACACACUAGUCAAUCCAGUUGUUUUACCUCCGUACUUUACUGUCCAACACACCCCUCAUGCUA